rnacentral:rRNA from 1 species
GAUGAACGCUGGCGGCGUGCCUAAUACAUGCAAGUAGAACGCUGAAGGAAGGAGCUUGCUCUUUCCGGAUGAGUUGCGAACGGGUGAGUAACGCGUAGGUAACCUGCCUGGUAGCGGGGGAUAACUAUUGGAAACGAUAGCUAAUACCGCAUAACAGUAGAUGUUGCAUGAUAUCUACUUAAAAGGUGCAAUUGCACCACUACCAGAUGGACCUGCGUUGUAUUAGCUAGUUGGUGAGGUAACGGCUCACCAAGGCGACGAUACAUAGCCGACCGGAGAGGGUGAGCGGCCACCCUGGGACUGAGACACGGCCCAGACUCCUACGGGAGGCAGCAGUAGGGAAUCUUCGGCAAUGGACGGAAGUCUGACCGAGCAACGCCGCGGGAGUGAAGAAGGUUGUCGGAUCGUAAAGCUCGGUUGUAAGAGAAGAACGAGUGUGAGAGUGGAAAGUUCACACUGUGACGGUAUCUUACCAGAAAGGGACGGCUAACUACGUG